AGUGGCGGACGGGUGAGUAACGCGUGAGAAUCUGCCUUCAGGAUGGGGACAACAGUUGGAAACGACUGCUAAUACCCGAUGUGCCGAGAGGUGAAAAUUUUUUGCCUGAAGAGGAGCUCGCGUCUGAUUAGCUAGUUGGUGGGGUAAAAGCUUACCAAGGCAACGAUCAGUAGCUGGUCUGAGAGGAUGAGCAGCCACACUGGGACUGAGACACGGCCCAGACUCCUACGGGAGGCAGCAGUGGGGAAUUUUCCGCAAUGGGCGAAAGCCUGACGGAGCAAUACCGCGUGAGGGAGGAAGGCCUUUGGGUUGUAAACCUCUUUUCUCAGGGAAGAAGAUCUGACGGUACCUGAGGAAUAAGCAUCGGCUAACUCCGUGCCAGCAGCCGCGGUAAUACGGAGGAUGCAAGCGUUAUCCGGAAUUAUUGGGCGUAAAGCGUCCGCAGGUGGUUUUUCAAGUCUGCUGUCAAAGACCAGAGCUCAACUCUGGGCCGGCGGUGGAAACUGGGAAACUAGAGUUCGGUAGGGGUAGCGGGAAUUCCCAGUGUAGCGGUGAAAUGCGUAGAUAUUGGGAAGAACAUCGGUGGCGAAGGCGCGCUACUGGACCGAAACUGACACUCAGGGACGAAAGCUAGGGGAGCGAAAGGGAUUAGAUACCCC
rnacentral:rRNA from 1 species